rnacentral:rRNA from 1 species
UACGUAGGGGGCUAGCGUUGUUCGGAAUUACUGGGCGUAAAGGGCGCGUAGGCGGCCUGUUAAGUCGAACGUGAAAUCCCCGGGCUCAACCCGGGAACUGCGUCCGAUACUGGCAGGCUUGAAUUCGGGAGAGGGAUGUGGAAUUCCAGGUGUAGCGGUGAAAUGCGUAGAUAUCUGGAGGAACACCGGUGGCGAAGGCGGCAUCCUGGACCGAGAUUGACGCUGAUGCGCGAAAGCCAGGGGAGCAAACGGG